rnacentral:rRNA from 1 species
UAUCUGGUUGAUCCUGCCAGUAGUCAUAUGCUUAUCUCAAAGAUUAAGCCAUGCAUGUCUAAGUACACAGACUAGUACUCUGAAACCGCGGAUGGCUCAUUAUAACAGCUAUGAUUUGAGAGAUUUAAUCUUUAUUGCUACAAGAUAACUGUGGUAAUUCUAGAGCUAAUAUUUAUUAGAAUGCCGUGACUUCGGAAGCGGCGGAUUUAUUAGAUCAAAACCAAUCUGCUGAAAGGCGGUUAUUUGAUGACUCUGGAUAACUUUACUGAUCGUACGACCUUGUGUUGACGACAUAUCUCUUGAAGUGGCUGACCUAUCAACUUUCGAUGGUAAAGUCAAAGUUUACCAUGGUUACAACGGGUAACGGGGAAUCAGUGUUCGAUUCCGGAGAGGGAGCCUGAGAAACGGCUACCACAUCCACGGAAGGCAGCAGGCGCGCAAAUUACCCAAUACCGGCUCGGUGAGGUAGUGACAAUAAAUAACAAUAUGGACCCUAGUGGUUUCAUAAUUGCAAUGAGAACAUUUUAAAUACUUUAUCAAGUAUCAAUUGGAGGGCAAGUCUGGUGCCAGCAGCCGCGGUAAUUCCAGCUCCAAUAGCGUAUAUUAAAGUUGUUGCAGUUAAAAAGCUCGUAGUUGAAAUUGGGGAACGUGAACAAUUUGAGGUCAUAGACCAAUAAUUGUUUGCUCCUUCAUCGUCGUGUAUAUCUUUUGAGUUCUUUAUUGAAUUUGAUUGAUAACCGACAAGUUUACUUUGAAAAAAUUAGAGUGCUUAAAGCAAGCUUAUGCUUGUAUAUUGUUGCAUGGAAUAAUGAAAUAAGACUUCGGUUUUAUUUUGUUGGUUUUCGAAACUGAAGUAAUGAUUAAAAGAGACUGCCGGGGGCAUAUGUAUGCUGGUGUUAGAGGUGAAAUUCUUAGACCAUCAGCAGACAAACUACUGCGAAAGCAUUUGCCAAGAAUGUUUUCAUUAAUCAAGAACGAAAGUCAGAGGCACCGAAGACGAUCAGAUACCGUCCUAGUUCUGACCAUAAACUAUGCCAACUGACAGUUAGCUAAGGAAAAUUAUUUCUCCUUGCUAGAAGUCACCGGGAAACCUAAGUCUAUGGGUUCCGGGGGAAGUAUGGUUUGCAAAGCUGAAACUUAAAGGAAUUGACGGAAGGGCAUCCACCAGGAGUGGAGCCUGCGCUUAAUUUGACUCAACACGGGAAAUCUCACCCGGCCCGGACACUGUGAGGAUUGACAGAUUGAUAGCUCUUUCAUGAUUUAGUGGGUGGUGGUGCAUGGCCGUUCUUAGUUGGUGGAGCGAUUUGUCUGGUUAAUUCCGAUAACGAACGAGACUCUAACCUGCUAAAUAGUAAAUUUGUGUUUUAUUGCAAAUCUUUACUUCUUAGAGGAAUAAAUAGCGUUUAGCUAAAUGAAAUGGAGCAAUAACAGGUCUGUGAUGCCMUUAGAUGUCCGGGGCCGCACGCGCGCUACAAUGGCAGUACCAACGAGUAUUUUCCUAGCUAGAAAUGGCCGGGUAAUCUGGUAAAUCACUGUCGUAUCAGGGAUAGUGGAUUGAAAUUUUUCCACUUGAACGAGGAACUCCUAGUAAGCGCAAGUCACUAGCUUGUGCUGAUUACGUCCCUGCCCUUUGUACACACCGCCCGUACGCUACUACCGAUUGAGUGGUUUAGUGAGAUUGUUGGAUUUCGAUUUAAGAAAUGGCAACGUUUCUAUAAUUGGGAAAAGACACUCAAACUUGAUCAUUUAGAGGAAGUAAAAGUCGUAACAAGGUUUCCGUAGGUGAACCUGCGGAAGGAUCAUUA